rnacentral:misc_RNA from 1 species
AACGCACAUUGCGCUCUCUGGUAUUCCGGAGAGCAUGCUUGUUUGAGUAUCAGUAAACACCUCAAUUUCAUGAUUUUAUGUCUUGAAAUUGGACUUGAGCAUAUCCCAACGUGUAAUUUAAUUAUAUGGAGGGUUGCUUCAAAUGCAGGUGCAGCCGAUCAUUCUUCUGGGCUAAAAGCAUUAUCUAGUUAGUCCCGUAAAACGGAUUAUUCAUUUUAUUGCUGCAGCUUACCUUAUGAAAGGAAGACAUGGCCAUUGUGCUGACUGAUGCAGGAUUUCUCAGAGGGUCUGCAAAGACUUUUUGAAAACUCGAUCUCAAAUCAAGUAAGACUACCCGCUGAACUUAA